CCCAUCCACACAUUUCACAUCCAUUCACUCUCCACACUUUGUAACUACAAUCUCAUUGGCAACAUUCAUUCGGCAACACAUUUUGUUGGAAAGCUUCUCACACUUUUACUCCAAAAAGGUGCCCAUUUGACUGAAAAAGGUACGCAUAUCAAAAUUUUUAUUCAGCAUUUGUGCUAUCUUAGUAGUAAGUUGUCGAAGAAAAAAAUUUGUUUGCGACACGGGGGCAUAAUUUUUUCGACACAAGUCAAUACCGAAGUGUCGCUGCUUUUUUUUUUCUUUUUCUGUUUUAUUGCUCUCAGGUUUUAGGAUGUAGUUUUGUAAAUAAAAAUAGAUUUGUCUAACAAUAUAAUUUACGAUCAAUUGUACAUUUCUUUUACGUUCAUUUUCUAUAUUGGAUUUUCGUAAACAAAAUAAUAUAUUCGUUUUAAAAUAUUCUUUAUUGUGUAAUUUACGCAGAUGUCUUUAGAAUAUGUUCUCUCUCCAGAUCAGUUGUUUUCUGCUACCAUCGUCCAGUGUCCAAAUCACGAAUAUAUUAGCGAUUUUGUAGAAUUCAUAGAUGUCAAUCAACAAUGUUCUUUACUGUGUAGUAAUUUUUGUGGAUUUGUUUACGGAGCUAUGUUCAGGGUACAACAAGAACAAUUUAGUAGUAAGUUGGUACACGAAUUUAUAAUGCGAAUUGUACAUUGUGCCAAAAAUAAUGAACUUUGGGUACGAUUAGAUGACCAUGUUGCCAGGUUCCGCAUGCAAGAAUUUUGCCUAAUUACUGGACUACCUUGUAAUGAACCAUCCAUUGAAAUCGACUAUAGUAACGAUCGUCUUAGAGAUCAAUACUUCAAUGGGGGCAAAAAUAUUAGCAAUAGAAUGCUUUUUGAAGCUUUCCAUACGUGCGAAGAUGGGGAAGAUAAAUUUAAGUUGGGACCAGUUAUGUUGGUGGAGUGUGUGUUGAAACCAACUUCAAGACAAAUUGAUUAUAGAACGUUGGGCAUGAUUGAACAUCUUAAUGCGUUCCUUACGUAUCCAUGGGGUCAUACUGCAUAUUUUGUUCUAUUAAAUUCGUUGAAAGAAUCACAAUUGGAACGAGUGGUAAGGAUACAACAGAACCGACAAUUAGAAUGUAAGUAUGCAGUACAAGGCUAUCCACUUGUAUUUAAGGUAUGUUGUUCAUCUUCUAAAUGAUCUCGUAUUCCAUAUAAUUUCUUCGUAAAAAAAUAUAUUAUAUAUAUGCAGUAUUGGAUAUACAAAGUAUUUCCACAAAUCGGGCAAAAGUUUGGAUGCUGUAGGUACAAAACGACACAGAUUCCACGAAUGUACAAGUGGAGGCCUACUACAAUACUGAAGGAAGUGAUUGUUAAAGAAUUUUUAGAUACGAAAGAUGUAUGACUUUUUAAUUCCAACGUACAAUGACGUUCGCAUUAAAUUGGUAAAACCUAACAUUGAAAAAUUUGCUUAGACGAACUUGUUUACGAUGAUUACAGAUCAAAAUCAUUGCAGUGCUGCAACCUACCAAAAAAGAAUUAGAAACAUCGUGAUACUCAAAUUUGUCACUGCCAGCUGACAAUAAACAUAAUAUACUAGAUGUCAUUGUCAAUGGAGAAUUGGAUAAUGUAGCACAACCAUUUUCGGAUCACAUUCGUGCGCAGCAAGCGACAAGUGGUGGUACACCAAAAAAUUCAAUUGGAGUUGGGUCCAGUUUUGCUUCUGGUACCUCCAGAUAUGUAAGGAAGAAAUGUUUGGUAUGUACAGAUAGCAUAUAAUAUCAGAUGUGUCCGAUCUAUGUGGCAACUUAAAGGCAGACUUUGUUGAAGAAUCGAGAGCCCUAAAUCACGCGAUCCUUAACAACCAAAAGCUGUUGUUCGAAGAACAGACCAAAUCGUUGCAAGAUUACAUGCAACAUAGUUUACAUUCGUAUAUAGAUAAUUCUCUAUUUGGUUUGUUUCAGAGUCAUAUGGCCCACGAAUCACAAACACUAGAAGCCCAUUAUCAGGCAGUUCUGCAAAGAUAAGAAGAAUUAUUUCAACAGCAACAAGAGCAAAUACGUUGUUAUGUGGAUUUCAGUUUAUGUUCUGUGAGAUCAUACAUUGACGAACAUAUUGAGAAUACGCAGAACAGAUUAUCUAACUGGGAAUCAAACAUAGAAGCCAUUAUAUGUUCCAUGCAGCAAAAUGUCUCUCCCCAUGCAAGUCCAAAUCCUACUAAUCAUGAAUAGGAGACGUCGACGUCUCAACAAAUCGAACAAGCUCAAAGGUUGAGAAGAGAAAGGGAAAGGAAGAGGAAGUGCACACAGUCUUCAUCAUCGACAAGUCGUCUCUUAGAAGACUACGACAUAAAAAGUACAGGACAAUUAAAGAUUUCAUAGCGACAGAUGAACUAAGGUAACAAAUUUUACUCAUUCUUACUAGUUCGAAUGCUAAACAUUAUUAUGGCAACGCCAGAAAUUCUGUGUUGAUUUAUUUGAUACUAAUGUCAAUUGUGUCAUACAGUGCAUACUUGGACGACGGCAGUGGGAACGUCUACGGAAGGGACAUGCUAAGAACGCUACUGGAUCGAAUGAACGAUUUGAAUAUUGCGGUACGAAAUUUUAGCAAUCAAUCACACUCAAUUUGAUUUCAUAGUUAAUAUAUCUAAUAUAUGUUACAUGUGUUUAUUUUAUUAGCAUAUUGAUUUGGAGCUGAAGUUAUUGAGGCGGCGUAUGAAUGAAGGUUGUACACUUAUCAAUAAACAAUAUGCAAUUUUGGACUUCCAAUUCGAAGAGGAGUGCUCUCGUCACAUGAGGUGGCAAAUGGACUUUCGAAUGGGAAAUCAGAGAGGUGAAAUGGAUGGAACGCGUCUACAAGACUAUGUUAAUGGUAGAUUGCCUAUAGAUAAUCAUCCGUGGAUAGGGUGCAAGUAUUUAUUAAUUCCAAGUACAUAUCCAGGUAAUGAAUGUUAUCUUUUCAUGAUCAAUAUUCCUGAUUAGAAAUUCCAGAUAUACGACUGCAGCAAUAGUUUACACACCAGAUGCAAUCAAGGCACAUGCAAACGCAACAUAUACUAUGGUUCAAGGAUUAUUGCAAUGUUCACCCCUUUCUACCAGACGAGACAUAAAUAAACAUAUCAAGAAAUGAAUAAAGCAGGAGAUUAUACCUUAUCUAUCAUGUGCAAACACUAUAUGAGCAUUUCAACUCUUGUUAUAUAUUACCGUUAUUAAGUUCUCAUUU
rnacentral:lncRNA from 1 species